rnacentral:lncRNA from 1 species
GUAGNUAAUCUAAGUAAGCCUAUGGCAAGGUCUUUUGAGAUUAAGUACAUACUAGCAUGAGUUGAUUCUAUGUGCCAAGGAUGGUUUCUUUAAUCUUGGUAUUCAUAGUGCAUAUAUUCAAAAGCAUACCAAGUACACAUUAUCAUAUCUAUGAUCAAUAAACAAUAAUGCCAUGGAUAAAAACUCUCAAUCAAACAUAUAGAGAAUUCAUAGAAUUAAUCUUGAUAAUGAUUAAUCAUUUAGCAACUUUAUCCAAUGGUGAGUAAAGUAUCCUAUAAAAUGAAGUGAUUUGAUUAUAUUUCCAAAAGUAGUUUCUAUAUCACAAAAUUGAUCAAUACUAGCAAUUCAUACUAAAGCAAAAAUAAUGAUGAGAUGCAAAGAUUACUGAUUUCAUUAUUAUUAUUUAAAAUUACUUUUCAUAAGUAUAUUUUAAGUUUCAAUGUGUCUAGAACACCCAUUUGUAUGAAUCUAUUUGUUUCAUGGGUAUCUUGGCACAUCUAUGUCUACAUCCUCAUAUUUUCAUUUUGGGUACCCAAGCUUGCUUGG